rnacentral:lncRNA from 1 species
UUGUGUUCUUGGCCAAAAAUUGUGUUUUUAUUAUUUCUUGGCCGGGAUUUUUAUUUGUCUUUGUUGUCUCUAGGUGUUAGUUUUGUUCCUCACUAACACAUUGAGUCUAUAUCUUGAUUUGAGCUUGUAUUUUGAUGUUGUUAUUGUGAACAUAAGCUUGGCCCAUUGUUGUUGAACAUUGUUGUGGUAGACAUUAUUGUUGAGAAACUUGAUUGGCCGUGUAUUU